GAUGAACGCUAGCUACAGGCUUAACACAUGCAAGUCGCGGGGCAGCAUGGGGGUUGCUUGCCAUCCCCGAUGGCGACCGGCGCACGGGUGAGUAACGCGUAUCCAACCUGCCCUUCACCACGGGCUAACCCGGCGAAAGUCGGACUAAUACCGUAUGUUGUCCAUUGACGGCAUCCGAUUUGGACGAAAGGCUUGGCGGUGAGGGAUGGGGAUGCGUCCGAUUAGCCAGACGGCGGGGUAACGGCCCACCGUGGCUACGAUCGGUAGGGGUUCUGAGAGGAAGGUCCCCCACACUGGAACUGAGACACGGUCCAGACUCCUACGGGAGGCAGCAGUGAGGAAUAUUGGUCAAUGGGCGUAAGCCUGAACCAGCCAAGUAGCGUGCAGGAUGACGGCCCUAUGGGUUGGAAACUGCUUUUAUGCGGGGAUAAAGUGGCCCACGUGUGGGCUUUUGCAGGUACCGCAUGAAUAAGGACCGGCUAAUUCCGU
rnacentral:rRNA from 1 species